UGUGCAAGAAUGUGGCUCCAGAAGGCUCCGCUGUCUGCGUGGAACCCCGUUUGCCGUGUCUCCGGACUCGCAGCUGCUGGGAGCCGGGACCCGGCACAGGACGCGGCUGCGGGACAGGGCGGGACACGUCACGGUCCAAGAAAGCAGCACCUUUCUUCCUUCAGAUCUUUCCUCUGAAGACUCAUUUUGUCUGGAGGUUGCACUGCAGCAGGGAAGAAUUUUGUCAAAAAUAAGGACGUGCUUAGGAGGAAUGAAAAGCCAGCCCCACUCACUCAAUCUGAAAACAAGACUGCAGAAAAGAGACAGCAUGGAUUUCAUCUCUGAGGUAAAGUGAAAUUUCACAAUUUUCCUGAAGACAGACAUGGUGGGCUUUCUUUUGUUUUGCAGACAAUCACACAGAAGCCAAAUCUGCUGGGAGGCUAACAGGACUGCAGGAAGCUACGUAGAUGCUGCAAUCCCAGGAAGCCUUUCCUCCUCUUGGACUUUGAUGAGUCAUAAUGUGCUCUCUGAACUUGGCUUUUCCUCUUUCUAGUUUUGGCAUCAAGUGAUAGAAGUCUCUGUUCUCAUGUCUUUAUGGCUACCUCCAUGUGUUAUGUAAGUCUGCUGUGGUUGGCAUUCUGCACAGGGUAGAUACUAGAUUUGGAAAUUAAUAUCAAGUUUCAACACCCUCAAAGGGGGGGGGGAUCCAGGCACAAAGUUAGGAAGCUUUCAGUCCCACCAGGCAAACUGCUAGAGAGCUGACUGCAAUGUUGCCUGGCUACAAAAGGGAGCAGGUAAGAUCCUCUGGAAAAUGAACACUCCAUCUACCUUAAUGCAGACAGAACUUUGACAGAGUGAACUUGAGUGAGUAUGAGAAUUAGCAGGUGAAUUUAUUACAGAAAUAAAUACUAUCCCCCCAACCUCCUCUUUUCCCCUUAAUCAUCAAACUCAAGUGAUCUGGCUUUUCAACAACAGUUCCUCUAAAAUACUUCCCCUGUUCUCUUCAUGAUCACAGAGCUCUCUAUUUUAAAAGCCUCUGUCUAGUCCCAGUUCAUUACAUGCUAUGUCUCAGAUUUCCAAGCAUCACUGCAGUUGGACAAAGACAGAUUUCUUGUCAGUUUUUCUGGCCUCCCUACAGAUGUCUGCCUGCUGGUUCCUACUGGGUAAAUUGAACAUACUUCCCUAUGAUGUAAAUGCUGAUCUCCACCCGCACCCUUCAAGAUUCAACUGUGGUCCAGCACCUUUCCCAUGGUCCUCCUCAUCCCAUCAAGGCAGGCGAAGCUGCUUGUCUGUGCUCUGCUCCCAUAGCAACCAGUGUGUACCACCAUUAUCGCACUUAUCGCUGAAAUGUGAUUAUUUGUUUGGUAUCCUCCACAAGAUGGUUAGUACCAGGAGGCUGUAGAACAAAGUCAGUUCAUCCAGGAAACCUCUGCAAUUAGCUGGGAGCCUGGCACACUGUAUGCUAUUUAAGAAAAACUUGGCUGAAUGAAAGGAUGCCAGAGACUCUAAACAUCAUCUGACAGAGAAUUUAGCAGGUCUUUGCAGCUGGUGACUGACAUGUUAGUGAGAGAGAUUUCUAAAUUUUCAGAAUCUCUGUGUUAUUUUUCAAUCUGAAACUUUGGUUUUAUUGGGGGGUGAGGGCUGGGAGAAGCUGGAGAGAAACUUUAGCUCCUGCACUCAAGAAAUGAUAAGGAAGAGGUUGGUUUGGCUUUUAUGCCAGGUUAGCAGUAAGGUGAAUGCAUACACAGCAACUGUGUAAUGGAGUAGCAAUAACUACAGUCGCAAUUUCUUAAAAGCAUAUACCACUGUUUGUGCAGAAACUUAAGUUUUUUAACAAAUGUUUUAUUUAUUUUUGGAUACAGAGAAAUCGAGGAGGGAGAGGGAGAGGGAGAGAGAGAGAGAGAGAGAGAAAGAGAAAGAGAGGGACACUUGCAGACCUGUUUUACUGCUCCUGAGGUUUCCCCCUUGCAGGUAGGAGCCGAGGACUUGAAACCAGGUCUUUGUACAUCCAAGUAAGCCACCAACCAGCCCCUUGUGUAGAAACUCCUAUAAAUGGCAUUUAAUCCACUUAACCCUUAUGAUAUUAUCCUGGUUCUAUGGUGGAGAGGCUGUGAGUGAUUUGCCUAAAACAGGGGUCUCUAAAAUGAAGUGAGCAAGGACGUUUACUGUGAUUUAGAAAGAAUGGGAGAAAUAAAAUCUCUGUAGUCACUAAAAACAUGUCAUGACAGGGGCCAGGUGGUGGUACACCUGGUUAAGCACACAUAUUACCAAGCACAGGGACCCUAGUUUGAACCCCUGCUCCUUAUCUGCAGGGGUGACACUUCAUGAGUAGCAAAGUAGGUCUGCAGGUAUUUCUUUUUCUCCCUCUCUGUCUCUCCUCUCUUCUCAAUUUCUUUUUGUUCCAUCAAAUAUGAUAGAAAAGGAGGGGGGAGGAGUAGGGUAAAUGGCCACCAGGAGCAGUGGAUUCAUAGUGCUGUCACAAGACCCAGCCAUAACCCUGGUGAUGAUGAUGAUGAUGAUGAUGGUGAUGAUAAAUAUAAUGGCAAGAGAUAAAAAAAAAAAAAGCUUUCUAAGUUAUUGUGGCCAUUGAUUAACUUGCCCCAUGUACCCUGUAUGGUAUGUGAUCACUAUCCAAAAGUUCACAGAGAGGUGAUGGUGGGUCCACUCUAGUUCCUCACUUCCAGGAUAUUGACUGACAUUGCCCAAAAAUCUACAGCCACCACAGCUAUAUUAUUUGACGUUUAACCAAUAAACUCUCUUCUUUGGAA